GCAGCCGCCAGCCCUGCCUCUGAGCUGCCCCAUCACACCUUCUUCAGGACUGCAAACUCACCCAGCAGCGCUGGGCUGAGAGCACCUGUAUCUUGGCCCGGAGCAUGGUGGGGACACAGAGAGUCAUGCACCAGCCCAGUGAGAACCAAUUCAGAGCCAAAUGCCAAACCCCAGCCAGCGGCUACCAGGACCCAGGCAACCCUCCCAGGACAGCAAACUCACUCACUGCUG
rnacentral:lncRNA from 1 species